CCAAAGGAGCUUCUUGAAGCAACAACAAAAAAUUCAGGAAAUAAUUCUUUGGUGAUGAGGAUGUUCCUUGAAAGUGUAUUAAUAAUUCUAUGGAUGCAGCUGACAUGGGCAAGUGGUCAACAGCCGAAUCAAAGUCCUCAGUCUAUGUCUAUUCAGGAAGGAGAGGACAUUUCCAUGAACUGCACUUCUUCAAGCACAUUUAACACCUGGCUAUGGUACAAGCAGGAUCCUGGGAAAGGUCCUGUCCUUUUGAUAACCUUAUAUAAAAGUGGUGAGUUGACCAGAAAUGGGAAACUGACUGCUCAGCUUGGUAGAACCAGAAAGGACAGCUUCCUGAAUAUCUCAGACUCUGAGCCUGCUGAUGCAGGCACCUACUUCUGUGCCGGGCAGCACAGUGCUCCCCAAGCACCUGCAGCCCGUCCUCAAACUUGCAGCUGGGACUCCAGUCACUACACUGCCUUCAGCUCCCGCUCCUCUUGA